rnacentral:tRNA from 1 species
AUGUUGUUAGUAUAAUUUAUUAUACUACUUUUCCAAAGUUGAGAUCUAUUUUUAGACAACAUA